GGCGACAGCCACCAGACGAGCAGCGAGCGGCAUGAACACCAACAGCUUCAGCGCCAUCUUCUUCCCUCUCCUCUUCUCCGUCAUCUUUCCUCUUUUCCUUUCUUUUCCGCCUUCUUUUCUCCAUCGCUGGCAGCACUCAGGCGAGCUGCCAGGCAACAGAGAAGCAGCAACUAGAGAAGCGCAUGGCGAUGGCCACCACCAGCAAGUCCAGUCAGGCGAACUCCGGCCAGCAGGCUCCACCGACGACCAGCAUCGGCGACUCCAUUGGCGAGCAGACGAAACUCCAGCAGCCACCAAGCGAGGUUUCCAGGCGACCACAAGCUCAUAAUCAAGGCCAGCGCCAGCAACGCCUACGACGAACAAUCAUCAACAACAUCGAUAUCCGGUGAAGAUAUAAUAAGGACGGAUCUAUUUAGAUCCUUCGAGUUAUUUGAUUACUUUGACGUUUCAA
rnacentral:misc_RNA from 1 species